UACGAGUUUGAUCAUGGCUCAGAACGAACGCUGGCGGUAGGCCUAACACAUGCAAGUCGAGCGAACCCUUCGGGGUUAGCGGCGGACGGGUUAGUAACGCGUGGGAAUAUACCCUUUGGUACGGAAUAGCCUCGGGAAACUGAGAGUAAUACCGUAUGUGCCCUUCGGGGAAAGAUUUAUCGCCAAAGGAUUAGCCCGCGUUGGAUUAGAUAGUUGGUGGGGUAAUGGCCUACCAAGUCUACGAUCCAUAGCUGGUUUGAGAGGAUGAUCAGCAACACUGGGACUGAGACACGGCCCAGACUCCUACGGGAGGCAGCAGUGGGGAAUCUUAGACAAUGGGCGCAAGCCUGAUCUAGCCAUGCCGCGUGGACGACGAAGGCCUUAGGGUUGUAAAGUCCUUUCAGAUGGGAAGAUAAUGACGGUACCAUCAGAAGAAGCCCCGGCUAACUCCGUG
rnacentral:rRNA from 1 species